CCCGGCCUAGCGUCCUUCCCCCAAUCCCCUCAGGCUCAGCUGCGCCGGGGGCCGCAGGCCGGUUCCCGAGGUGGCCCAGGCGCCCUCCCAUCGCCAACACCGCGCGGGCCGUCCCUCCCUGCCGCCCCGCGUCCUCCGCCUCCGCCUCCCCCCGCCCUCCGCCUCCCUUCCCCCUCCCCGCCCAGCAGCGGUCGCUUGGGCCCGGCUCUCGGUUAUAAGAUGGCGGCGCUGAGCGGCGGCGGCGGCGGCGGCGCGGAGCAGGGCCAGGCUCUGUUCAACGGGGACAUGGAGCCCGAGGCCGGCGCCGCGGCCUCUUCGACUGCGGACCCCGCCAUUCCUGAGGAGGUGUGGAAUAUCAAACAAAUGAUUAAGUUGACACAGGAGCAUAUAGAGGCCCUAUUGGACAAAUUUGGUGGGGAGCAUAAUCCACCAUCAAUAUAUCUGGAGGCCUAUGAAGAAUACACCAGCAAGCUAGAUGCCCUCCAACAAAGAGAACAACAGUUAUUGGAAUCCCUGGGGAAUGGAACUGAUUUUUCUGUUUCUAGCUCUGCAUCAACGGACACCGUUACAUCUUCUUCCUCUUCUAGCCUUUCAGUGCUGCCUUCAUCUCUUUCAGUUUUUCAAAAUCCCACAGAUGUGUCACGGAGCAACCCCAAGUCACCACAAAAACCUAUCGUUAGAGUCUUCCUGCCCAAUAAACAGAGGACAGUGGUACCUGCACGGUGUGGAGUCACAGUCCGGGACAGCCUGAAGAAGGCGCUGAUGAUGAGAGGUCUAAUCCCAGAGUGCUGUGCUGUUUACAGAAUUCAGGAUGGGGAGAAGAAACCAAUUGGCUGGGACACUGAUAUUUCCUGGCUUACUGGAGAGGAAUUGCAUGUAGAAGUGUUGGAGAAUGUUCCACUUACAACACACAACUUUGUACGGAAAACGUUUUUCACCUUAGCAUUUUGUGACUUCUGUCGAAAGCUGCUUUUCCAGGGGUUCCGCUGUCAAACAUGUGGUUAUAAAUUUCACCAGCGUUGUAGUACAGAGGUUCCACUGAUGUGUGUUAAUUAUGACCAACUAGAUUUGCUGUUUGUCUCCAAGUUCUUUGAACACCACCCAAUACCACAGGAGGAGGCCUCCUUAGCAGAGACUACCCUUCCAUGUGGCUCAUCCCCUUCUGCACCCCCCUCCGAUUCUAUUGGGCCCCCAAUUCUCACCAGUCCGUCUCCUUCAAAAUCCAUUCCAAUUCCACAGCCUUUCCGACCAGCAGAUGAAGAUCAUCGAAAUCAGUUUGGACAACGAGACCGGUCCUCAUCAGCUCCAAAUGUACAUAUAAACACAAUAGAACCCGUCAAUAUUGAUGACUUGAUUAGAGACCAAGGGUUUCGUAGUGAUGGAGGAUCAACCACAGGUUUAUCUGCCACACCCCCUGCCUCAUUACCUGGCUCACUCUCUAAUGUGAAAGCAUUGCAGAAAUCUCCAGGACCUCAGCGAGAAAGAAAGUCCUCUUCAUCGUCAGAAGACAGGAAUCGAAUGAAAACGCUUGGUAGACGGGAUUCAAGUGACGAUUGGGAGAUUCCUGAUGGACAGAUCACAGUGGGGCAGAGAAUUGGAUCUGGGUCAUUUGGGACCGUCUACAAGGGGAAGUGGCAUGGUGAUGUGGCAGUGAAAAUGUUGAAUGUGACAGCACCCACACCUCAGCAGUUACAGGCCUUCAAAAAUGAAGUAGGAGUACUCAGGAAAACUCGACAUGUGAAUAUCCUCCUCUUCAUGGGUUAUUCAACAAAGCCACAACUGGCUAUUGUUACCCAGUGGUGUGAGGGCUCCAGUUUAUAUCAUCAUCUCCACAUCAUUGAGACCAAAUUCGAGAUGAUCAAACUUAUAGAUAUUGCACGGCAAACUGCACAGGGCAUGGAUUACUUACACGCCAAGUCAAUCAUCCACAGAGACCUCAAGAGUAAUAAUAUUUUUCUUCAUGAAGACCUCACAGUAAAAAUAGGUGAUUUUGGUCUAGCCACAGUGAAAUCUCGAUGGAGUGGGUCCCAUCAGUUUGAACAGUUGUCUGGAUCCAUUUUGUGGAUGGCACCAGAAGUAAUCAGAAUGCAAGAUAAAAACCCAUAUAGCUUUCAGUCAGAUGUAUAUGCAUUUGGGAUUGUUCUGUAUGAAUUGAUGACUGGACAGUUACCUUAUUCAAAUAUCAACAACAGGGACCAGAUAAUUUUUAUGGUGGGACGAGGAUAUCUGUCUCCAGAUCUCAGUAAGGUACGGAGUAACUGUCCAAAAGCCAUGAAGAGAUUAAUGGCAGAGUGCCUAAAAAAGAAAAGAGAUGAAAGACCACUCUUUCCCCAAAUUCUCGCCUCUAUUGAGCUUCUGGCCCGCUCAUUGCCAAAAAUUCACCGCAGUGCAUCAGAACCCUCCUUGAAUCGGGCUGGCUUCCAAACAGAGGAUUUUAGUCUAUAUGCUUGUGCUUCUCCAAAAACACCCAUUCAGGCAGGGGGAUAUGGUACGUUUCCUGUUCACUGAAACAAACUGAGUGACUGACAGCGUUUAGGAGGGUAGGGACAAAAGAAAGUGAACAUAUAUUUGCUUAUAUAUUUGUUAAAUUGAAUAGGAUUUUCUUUUUCUUUAAAGGUGAACAUAAGAACAUGGAUGUUUUUAAAAUCUGGAUAUAGUUUUUUCCCCAGUGUAAAAUCCAUGGUUAGCAUUAGAUUUUCAACAGUGAAUUUUUUUUUUUUUUAAUUAACAGACAUUGCUGGAAAUUUACAGUACCUUUUCCAGAGGCUUUACUUCCCAUUCCAAGUUUGUUUUGUUUACUUGGUUAGUCUAAUCAUUAACCUUUAGUUAAACUUUCCUCACCUACCUGUUGCUAUUAGCUAGCCCGCAUCUAUUAGGGGCUCCUAGAAUAGCACUCUGUGUGUGUGUGUUGCCAGGUGGGAAACUGAUGGUGAGUUAGGCUGUGUUAGUGAAGGUAAACUGACCAGGUCUAAUUAGGAAUCACUAGAAUGGAAUAAGCUUAUUUUUAUUAAUAUUUUUUCUUAUAACUAUAUCUUUUUGUAAUAAUUUAGAAAAUACAAUUUUUCUUCAAUCCUUUACAGCAGUCUAAAUAAUCGGUAUAGGUAACCAAAGAUAUUACUGAGGAGUGGCAUGUUUGACAUGAGUAACAUAGUUUAACUUUGGGUUUUUAGUUAAUAUUUCCUUAUAUAUUAAGGAUGUCUUACACAUUAUAGGGGCUUCCCUGGUGGCUCAGAGGUUAAAGCGUCUGCCUGCAAUGCAAGAGACCUGGGUUCGAUCCCUGGGUCAGGAAGAUCCCCUGGAGAAGGAACUGGCAACCCACUCCAGUAUUCUUGCCUGGAGAAUCCCAUGGACGGAGAAGCCUGGUGGGCUACAGUCCAUGGGGUCGCAACGAGUGGGACACAACUUCACUUUCACUUUCACACAUUAUACAAGUCAAAUUUGCUGACAAAAGUAUUGCCUCCUCUUCCUUCCAAAAAGCACAGCAGAAUUCUCUGAGAACUUGUAGGUUGGUUUGUUUUCUUUUGGAUAACUGCGGUUGCCAAACAACUAAGUAAUUGAUUUUUUAAAAAUUAUUAUUGCCUUAGAUUAUACUCACCUCUCAUGAUACCUGUUAGCAAUCACCUUAUCCAUGUGUCUUGUAAAAUAUCUUUCCUCCUUAUGUUCUUUGCCCAACAGGAGUCCACUUGUUAUGAAUGAAUGCUAUUUUCUUUUUUGAUUCCCCAGUGUAAUUAGUAUGUUUAGUGCUUUCUAGGACUCCCACUUUCUUGUAUAAAAAAAAAUAACUAAUGUGGCAGUCAGCAUAUUCUUACUGUGAAUCAAGAGUCUUUACUGGGAAUCAAAGUGAGAGAAGCAGCAUUGCUGUUUCAACUUCAGAGUCAGCCUAGGGACCAAAGCCAGCCUGUUAAAUACACCUUCAUUUACUCAGUUUGGAUUUGUGAUGAUUUUCAUUAUAGCUGACAGUUCAAGGUUAUUCAGCGGCACACAGAUAGUUUCUGCAUAAAUGCCGUUCUUGAAAAUAAAGGAGAAAAUUGGGAAGACUUUACACUAAUAAUAGUUUAGUCUCUAAGUACCACAGAUAACACACACCAUAAAUAAAAUUUUGAAAUAUUUUAUUUCUUUAAGUAAGUUAGAUUUCAUCCAGGGAAAUCACUCAUUGAUAAGUUUGACAUAAUUUUUGCCCUUCAUUUGGGUAGCUUAAGAUAAAGAAUACCAUUCAUGCUUUUAAAAAUCUAUUCAUAACUUUUAGUUUAGGAAGAGUAGUGAAAAAGAACAUUUCUUGUAUUUUAAAAAAUGAGAAUAAGAAAAUCGUAAAAGAAUGUAACUUAUUCAAAAACAUCAAAAUUCACAAUUUCUAAAUUUUCCAGUGACACUAAAGAUGCGAUUAUUAGUAACUAUUAGUCUGGGUUUUAUUUAUUCAUGAAGCUGGGUUUUAUUUAUUCAUGAAUUGAACAGCAAGCAUGUAGCUAGCAAAGUUUUUACAAAAUUGACUUUGGUCUGUGGAAUGUUCAAAGGUUUGGGCAAGAGUCAAAGGAUCUUUUUAUUGAUAGAGCUCUUUUAUAAUUUCCCAGCAUAGUUUAUUCACUUUUAUCUUCCUGUCUUUGUUCACCCUCUUUUUCCCCCCAGCACUAUCCCUACACCAACACCACCCAGCCAGCGCUCCACCUCUGCUUUUGACUCUUUUCGUUCCUUCCUAUACCAGUCUCAUUUGCCAGAGGGCAUUGCUAAACUCUUAGAACUGCUCGGAAUACUCAUUAUACCAUCCCUUGACAUUUGAACAUGCCUUCACAGGGUUGCAUAGUAAUUCUCUUCUUUCCAAAUUGGGCCCGCUGGAAAUGUUAUUGGGAGAACAUUAAAAAUGUAGCAGGUGAAAUAUUUAAAUAACAUGGAUCCAGAGAAGUAUGAAGUAUUAGAAUGAUACAUGGUAGUUUUCCUUUCUGUUGUUGCUGUUUGUUUGAUACUGAGUUUUAGAUGUGUUUGUUCUUCAAACAAGAAAAACAUUUUCCUAACCAUAUGUAGAGUUAAUUUUUUUGACUAAGGAAUUGAAACAGAAGGACAGACGUUCACUCUCUUGCAACUGACAGCUUCUUUCCUAAAACCUGUACCCUCGGAUAUUUUCAUUAAAGUUGAUUGAUUUCCUUCUUCAGAAGGCAGCCAUUUUAUAAAAUGUUUUACAUUUUAAAAGUUUACUAGUCAGUGAUAAGGAAUGAGGUUUGUCUUCUUGAUUUUAAGUUAUUUAGGGAUCACAGCAUUUAAAUAAAAUACUUCAGGUUUGUUUAUUUUCAAAUAUUACUGUAUUGUUGAACCAGCCAUUUAAAUCCUAAGCAAGUAGUUAAACACAUUCUAAAGUAGUGACUAUUUAACACAGUAGCUUAUCUGGCCUUUUGGCCAAGUGGAUCAGUCUAAAUGUAAGGAAAUCAUCUAUCCUUUUUUUAAAGUAUUAUGAAAACAUUUCAUGACAGAAACACUUGGCCAGUUACAGUCUCACUUGACGAGCAUCGAGCACUUCUGCAGCGCCUUUUCUGUGAUUAUCUGUCUAAGUUUUAAAGUUCAGUGUGGCAGUGCCAGGAUGCUCCUCAUUUUUUAUAAACUGCCUGAAAGGUCACCACAAAGAAGGAAUGGGACUUCCUCUUGUUUCAAAUGACUGCCCCUCUACAUCUAAAACAGGGAUAUAUUUGUAUACAAAAUAACAUUAGAUUUUUCCUAGACUAUUUUAUGUUUAAGAAAUUUUUAUCAGAUUAUAUGUGUAACAGUCACUGAAAUACAUUUAACUCUGAAAUUAAGGGUGAUCAUUUAGUAAUAUCUUAAAACUAGUUAGUAAAGUCCUUAGCUUUCAAAUAAACAAAUACUUGAUAUUUGAGGUGUCUGAAAUCUUGGGGUCUUCCCAAGUGUUCUCUGCCCUUUUCCUAAAUAAAAUCAAAUGGAAAAUAGAGCUUAGGUUAUUCUCAACCAGAAAGGAGGUUUUUAAAAAGUUUCAUUUUGACCUCUGAUUGAUUUUUGGUUAAUAAUUAAAUUAAUAUACUGAGAUUUUUUAAAAAGUCAGAGUAUCUAGAUGUUUCAUUUUAAAUAACUUUCACAGAAGCAGAUUUGGCUCUUACAUCAAAUAAAAUAGAGUAGAAGUUGGGAUUUAGAGAUUUCCUGGUAUGCAGGGAAGAAUAAGCAAGAAAAAAGGUUUGUUUUCCCAAAAUCAUAUCUAUUGUCUGUUACCUCUGUCUUUUCUUAAAUUGUCUGUGAUUUCAAAGACAUGUAGAAGGAGUUUUAUUGAUACCUAAACUAUGAGUUCUUUUUGUUUUUUUAAUGUUUUGGUUUUUCGGCCAAGAGGCAUAUGGGAUCUUAGCUCCCCAACCAGGGACCACACUCACACCCGCUGCACUGAAAGGUGAAAUCUUAACCCCUGGAACACCAGAGAAAUUCCUAAGCUAUGAGUUCUUUUUGUCAUCCCCUCCCCACACCCUCCACCCCCAACCUAAAGUCUGAUGAUGAAAUCAACAACUCUUCUGGUAGCAUCUACCAGUAGAUUGUGGUAGCAUGAUCUUUAGUUUGCUUUAUUGUUAUUUGAUUUGAAGUUUGUUAGUAAGAUUUUGUGCUUUGCGGGGGUUGUGUCAUUUUAUUUUUAAGGCUAAUAUUUAAGUUUGUCAAGUAGAAUGCUGUUCAGAUUAUAAUAAUGAGUAGGAAACAUCUGAAGUUUUUUUUUAAGUUAUUUUGAACAUGGUAUAUACAAUUGAGCUUAGAGUUUAUCAUUUUCUGAUAUUCUCUUACUUAAAAGAUGAAUUCUAGCCAUUUUUUAUAAAGAUUUCUGUUAAGCAAAUCCUGUUUUCACAUUGGCUUCCUUUGAGGAGUUUUAGAUUCUGCUGGAUAUGGUGACUGCUCAUGAGACUGUUGAAAAUUACUUUUAAGAAAUGUAUCCAAAAAAAAAAGAAAUGUAUCAGAAUAGUUCUGAAAAAAGCAACCUUAAAACCAUAAGCAAAGGAGAAUUUGCAGCCUUCAAGUAGCCACACCAUCAUGACAGCAUCUACUCUUAUUUCUUAAGUCUUGUGUUCGUACAAUUUGUUAACAUCAAAACACAGUUCUGUUCCUCAACUCUUUUUAAAGAUAAAAGUUUUCAGUGCAUAAGCUGGUAUGGAACAGAAGGAAAUUUCCCAUCCAACAAGAGAGGGAAGAAUGUUUUAGGAACCAGAAUUCUCUGCUGCCAGUGCUUCUUCUUCACCACAAAUACCACGUGUAUACAAGUCUGCCCACUCCCAGGAAGAAAGAGGAGAGACCCUGAGUUCUGACCUUUUGAUGGUCAGGCAUGAUGGAAAGAAACCGCUGCUACAGCUUGGGAGAUUUGCUCUGGGAAGUCUGCCAGUCAACUUUGCCCUUCUAACCACCAGAUCAGUAUGUGGCUGAUCGUCUGAUGGGGCAGUCGCAAUCACCAAGCCUCGUUCUCUUUCCUGUUCUGGGAUUGUGUUGUGGAACCCUUUCCCCUGGCCACCACCGGUUCAUUUCUGAGGGAUGGAACAAAAAUGCAGCAUGCCCUUCCUGUGUGGUGCAUGUUCAGUCCUUGACAAAUUUUUACCAAAAUGAAGCUACUUUAUUUAAAAGGAGGGUGAGAGGUGAGGAGGUCGGUUUGGGUGUGGAGGAAAGGGAAUGCUGCAUCUUUUUCCUGGGCUGCUGGGGCUCUGGCCUUGGCUUCCUUGCUCACGCGGCUCCCUGCCUGGCGGGCCGGCCGGAAGUGGCGCGCAUUGCCUUCUUUUCCCAUUGGGUCCAGCAAUGAAGACAAGUGUUUGGGGAUUUUUUUUUUCUCCACCAUGUAGCAAGUUCUCAGGAAAAUACAAUUGAUAUCUUCCUCCUAAGCUCUUCCAGUCAGUCACCAAGUACUUAAGUGGCUACUUUGUCCAGGGCACAAAAUGCCUGUAUCUAAUUAAAAGCCUACAAAACUGCUUGAUAACAGUUUUGAAUGUGAGACAUUUAUGUAAUUUAAGUGUAAGGUACAAGUUUUAAUUUCUGAGUUUCUUCUAUUAUAUUUUUAUUAAAAAAAGAAAAUAAUUUUCAGAUUGAAUUGGAAUAAAAUAAUAUUACUUCCCACUAGAAUUAUAUAUCCUGGAAAAUUGUAUUUUUGUUACAUAAGCAGCUUUUAAAGAAAGAUCAUUACCCUUUUCUCUACCUAGAUAUAUGGGGAGUCUUAGCUUAAUGACAAAUAUUUAUAAUUUUUAAAUUAAUGGUACUUGCUGGAUCCACACUAACAUCUUUACUAAAUAUCUCAUUGUUUCUUCCAACUUACUCCUACACUACAUCCUACAUCUUCUUAGUCUUUUAUCUAGAAUAUGCAACCUCAAAUAAAAAUGGUGGUAUCUUCAUUCAUUCUCCUCCUUCCUUUUUUCCCAAGCCUGAUCUUCAAAAGGUUGGUUAAUUUGGCAGCUGAGUUCCCCAGGCAGAGAAUAGAGCAGUUUUAGGUGUAUUGGGACUGAGGGAGGAUGUGUAAAGAUUAACAUCAGUAAAGAACUGCUGUGGAAUAAUUAAGAACCUUCUUCUUUAUCUUUAUAAAUGGAGAAUAUAACCUAAUCAUAACCUCCCUCAGCCUUUACUAAAGUGUGGCAUAAAUCACAGUAGUAGCAAAGAAAGAGACUUUGGAUGUGUUCCUGGUCAAUACCUCCCUUACCAUGAAUAUAGACUCUCUUAACAAGAUUUAGGAAUGUAAAUCAAAUGUACCCAGCCCAACCAAGCUAUGUAGUAAAAGACCUGAACAAUAUUAGGCAGAACCUAUAAAUCAGGGAAUUAGAAAUUAUUUGAAGUUUUCAAACUGUAAAUUGCCCUGCUGUCUUUCAGCCUACUAAAGCUUACUGCCGUUACAUUAUUUUUGCUACAAUACCUACAUUCAGAGGAGGGCCUACUGAAAAUUCCAUGGAUUUGUAAAAGAUUGUCCCAGUAAAGUGGAAAAUAAUCCUCAAGUUAUUAAUGAGUUUGAAAAACAAUGAGGUCUUAAGUCUUUGGUGAGUAGAGCAAGAUCCUACAAAUUUCAGAAAUUGUAAAAAUGAUUCAUGCUGAUUUAAAGAGCAUCUGUGUGCAUAAUACUGCCUCUCUUUUAAAAGCAGUGUCUAUUUUUCUUUUUAAAUUUGUCCCCAUAGAUGCUUUUGAACAUGAACAUGCUCGUGUUACCUUUUCCGUGGUUGGGAAGAGCCAGGAGCUCUCAGGCAGGGCCCCCUCCCUCAGCCGGGCAGAAACUGCCCAGGAGGAGCUGGUUAUGGAGGAAGCUUAGCGCUGGCAUUUUCACAAUUCAAGGUGAUAACUCUUUCUUCUUCCCUUUCUGUUUUAGAAUAGAUUGCUAUCUGAUUUGAAAAAGGGAAAUAGAUUUGAUCUCAAAUAAAUCUGUGCCCAGAAGCCAGGCUCAGGGUGUUGAGAGAUUUGUAUAGUGCCCUCAAAAAAUAACAAAAUUUUAGCUUUCCUUUUUUCUUCUUUUCUCCAUCAGAUUCUUUUUUCUCUAGUUUACAAAUGAGACGGAAAAGGAAUUUCCCCUGAGUUUUGUAUGCCUUUUUUUUUUUUUCUUGAUGCUUAGACUACAGAUAGGCAUGUUGAGCUCCUAAGAAAAUACAAGGAGAAAAAAAAAAAGAAAAUACAAGGAGGAACUCUUCGUUGUGCAGAGCACUUUAUGAGUAGUUUGUGUGGAUAGGAUGUGACUGCUUCCCUGACAAGCUUGUGAGGCUGUACUUAUGUCUUUCCUGUAAGGCGGCUGCAGUGCCUUCUGUAGUGUAUAUAAGGAAAGGUUAUGCCUUCUGAAAAAUCUCAGAGCAACCAUAAGAAGAUUAUUUUAAAAUACAUAGUAUUACUGAUGGACUUUUUCAUCAUUAAAUUAGUCUAGGAUCUAAACUUUUACCAUUGAAAUAAUAUUGACCAAAAAGCAAUUUAUAAAAGGGAUUUGUGAACAGAAAAUACAAUGUGAUCAUUUGUACUUAUGUGCACCUUAAAAGAGGAUUCUGUCUAGCUGUCAAAUUCUGGUUCCUUAACAUCCAGUCCUUGAUUGUGUUUGAGAUCUGGUAGGACAUGCUGGGGCACGCUAGCAGAUAAAAUCCCAUAUACUUUAGGAUAGAUGUUAUAUUUAUGUCAGAGUUGGCAAAGAGCAUUGUGUAGUAAUAAAGAAUUCAAGACUUCAGCACUGUCAACCUGAAACUUUGUAAAUAUUUCCUAGAUUGUCAUUUGAUGCAGUCACGGCUCUUUGUCACACAAUGUUAUCUUUUCCUCAUCGGGCAAUGUUCGAGCUGCUGCACGCCCCUCCUCAGAUCUCACCUGCCCCUCCUGUACAUUCACCUCUCCAGCCCUGUGCACACCUCAUUUAGCUUUAGUUUGAAACACAUUGCAGGGUUCAGGUGACCUCUUCAAAAACUACCUCCUCAGAAUGAGGUAAUGAAUAGUUAUUUAUUUUAAGAUAUGAAAAGUCAGGAGCUCUAGAACAUGAAGAUGAUCUAAGAUUUUAACUUUUAUGUAUACUUGUAUUUGAGCACUCUCCUUUUGUCCUAAAGGGCAUUAUACAUUUAAGCAGUAAUACUGAAAAAUGUAGCUCAGAGUAUCUGAAUGUUGUUGAAAGUGGUGCCAGAAUCUGUUUUAGGGGUACGUAUCAGAAUCUUAACCUUAAAUCGAUUGCAUGAAAUUAAAUAGUUAAUGGUAACACUUGACUAACAGAUAUAAUUUUAAUUUUCGGUAGGCUUUUAGCAAGACAGUACAUUUUCAUAAUGAGUUAGCCACAACUUCAUCACAUGCACAGAUUUUCCUAUUGAGAUACUGCCCAGUUAAGAGGGUAGAAUGAUGACCCAUUUUUCAAGAUUCUCUUUGUCCAAACUGGCAUUGGGAGUACUAGAAUAUCAGCACUUUGAAACUAGUGAUUCCAACUAUUAGGCUAUUAAUAGCAAAACAAACCAAACAGACAAACUGCAGCCAGACACAGAAAGUUUACUGUGAGUAUAAACAGCAAAUAGGUUACAGGUCACACAUUGAAAUGGUGUAGGUAAGGCGCUAGAAAAAUACCUUGACAAUUUGCCAAAUGAUCUUACUGUGCCUUCAUGAUGCAAUAAAAAAAAAAAAAGCUAAAAUUUUAGCAGAAAUCAGUGAUUUGUGAAGAGAGCAGCCACCCUGGUCUAACUCAGCUGUGUUAAUAUUUUUUAGUGUGCAAUUUAGACUGCAAAGAUAAAUGCACUAAAGUGUUUAUAGCCAAAAUCACAUUUAAAAAAUGAGAGAAAACACAAGUAAAUUUUCAGUGAACAAAAUUAUUUUUUUAAAGCACAUAAUCCCUAGUGUAGUCAGAUAUAUUUAUCACAUAGAGCAAAUAGGUUGAAAUCACAAUUCAGUGACAUUUAUAGAGAAACUUUUUCUACUCCCAUAGGUUCUUCAAAGCAUGGAACUUUUAUAUAACAGAAAUGUGUGACAGACAUUUUAAAUUUCUGUAGUUUGGGGCUGAAGUACUGUGUGCUGGGCAGCAAUCGUAUGUAUUAACUAGUGAGAAGGGAGAAAUUAAGGUACAGGACAGAAUUUGAUUUUCUGGUUCCCAGAGUACUGCUGCCGACCUAGACACUGAGUUUCCAGAGACUGAAACGUAAACUUGCCGCUCAGGACUCAUUUGCAGAUUCAGUGGGACUGUCCUGCUUGUCCUGUUCAGAAAUGCUCUGAGGGCCAGGUGGGGGCUUCCAGGGAAUCCUCUCUGAGAGGACAGCAGACUAGCUAACGACCUGGUGGGCGGCUGUGAACUGGACACACUUCAUGGUGUGCUUCUUGUAUCUUGAUUCCUCGCCACCCUCAAGAAGGGCUUCGGCGAGUUCUCUAGACAUUUCCACCAAGGUGUGUUACUAACACCCAUAGGUUGUUGAGCACCCGAGGAGUGCAGUAGCAUCUCUGCAUGACUGGUUGGCCCGAGGAGAAUAAAGUGGCCAAUGUACUCAUGUUCCAUGUUGCUAGCUCUGGUAAAUUGAAAAUACUGGUAAGAUUUUUGUUUCAUCAGUACACUGGAGAGUAAGCUUUGUUUUGUUGUUCUUAAUCAGUUUUCACUUCCAUUUGGAAAGACAUUUAAAUUGAGUUUCAGUCCUAAAUUUUGCCAGUCAUGGUAAUUAGCAGUUUCUAUCAGGUAUUUUUAAAGUAGAAGAGGAUAGAAACAUAAGUUCUAAAAUCUUAAGGUAACCGUGGUUUAUUUUAAAAUGCUUAGGGGUGGUUAGUCUCUACCUCAAAAAAAGUGAUUGAGUGAAUCUUUUAUUUCAGCAUUCACAAGUUCGGCUAUUGUUUUUGUAAUACUUUUUUGAUUUUUUUUUUUUUUACCUUUUGAACCCCUUUACCUAAGUGUCAAUGUAGUUUUAUUAAUUACUAAGUCAGUUUCAUUAAAAUGUUUAUUUAGCAGUUUUGACUAAUUGCAAUGAUAUAAUAUAGCCAGUUGUGCAUGAGGACACAGCCAGUGAGUAUAUCUGAGGUUUUUUUGUGAUGCUUUUUUUCUUAAGACUUCUGUAGAUUUAUGAAGUACUCAUUGAAAACAACUAAAAUACGUUUAUUCAUGUUGGUAUGAAAAAAAAAAGCUAUGUGCAGACCAUCUGCUGCUUCUGGCAGGCUGAGCACGUUGUCCAUCACCCACAGGUGGCUGGUUCUCAUCGCAGAAUCUACGUAGGGAAUCGGGUGUGAAAUUCACUUAAGAGAUAGAGCAGAGGAAGUGUUCUGUUUACAGGAAUGGAGAUGCGAGUUAUGAGUAAGUUGCUUAGUCAGUUGGCUUUGUUUUUGAAAAUUACUGUGUUACAUUUGUGUGUUAAGCCUUUUUAACCUACUUGUGUUUUGACAGUAUAUGUCACAUAGGAAGAAACCUCAGACUAGCAUAAGCAACAAAGCUCACAGACUAGGCACAAAUGUAGACAAAAUGGACCAAAAUGGGAGGGGGGAAGGUAUGGGAAUAAGUCUAGGGUAGGGAAAAAUUGAUGUGAGGGUGGGAAAUAAACUGUAAUUACCUGAAAUAAAAUGUAAGAGUGCAAUAAGUGUGCUUUUUAUUCUAAGCUGUGAACGGGUUUUUAAAAAAAAUCAUUCCUUCCUAAUGCAUUUGCCUAUGUUCCCAUAGCUGAUUAAAACCAGCUAUAUAAACAUAUGCCUUUUUAUUCAUGUUAAUUACCAACAUAAAUGGCUAACCUUUACGUCUUAUUUAUCUUCAUGUUAUGUUAGUUUACAUACAGGGAUGUGUGUGUGUGUGUGUAUGCUAUAAAUUUUCCCUCCUUCAUUUGAAAAUGCAUUUGUUGGGUCCUCUGUGUUUCCUUAGGCCAUGCCACAGGUCAUAGUCUCAGCUUGGCCUUCCUAUCACCUGAUUUGAAGGACUAUCACAGUGACGUAGCUCGUUCAUUGGUUGUACACACUCUAACCCUUUUCCUUGCUCAGCAAUUACUGUUUCUUCUAAAACAGGAGUGUACAACCAUGAGAUUGAAAUUAACUGUUUAACAUAUGUCCCUUUGAAUUCUAUUUAUUAGUUAUGAUUGCUCUUUGGUUUGGACCAAGAAAAAGGAAAUCCCGCCUCCCCACCUUUUCACUUACGCUUAGCUUGAGGACAGUUCUUCUAUAAGAGAGGAAAGGGAACUCCUUCAUGUUUUAACCGCGGCGAGUUAAUGGCCCUGGUUUACACCAGACCUUACAGUGAUGCAUGUUCACAUCCCUCUCCUCUCUUGCUGCCAAAGGUUUGGGUUUUAUUCACUUCAGUUCUGCUCAAGCAUUGAAAAGGUUUUCAUGGAGUCUGGAGUGUGCCCAGUGAAAAGAUGGUUUUUAAUUGUCCACAGACCUCUCUGUACCUGCUUUGCAAAAAUUACAAAGGAGUAACUUAUUUUUAAAGCUUAUUUUUCAAUUCAUAAGACAUUUAUUUUCAGUCAAAUGGAUGAUGUGUCCUUGUCCCUUAAUCCUCAGUGUUUGCUUGAAGUUUUUAUUUUUAUUUUUUUUUUUCAUUUCUCCCCAUCCCCACUUCUUGAUACUUCCUGAGUUCUCUUUCCUGCUCAGGUCCUUUCAUUUGUACUUUGGAGUUUUUUCUCAUGUAAAUUUGUACAGUGGAAAAUAUUGUUCAGUUUGGAUAGAACGCAUGGAGGAUUAAAUAAAAAAGAUAGCUGAAAUUCAGAUUGAAAUUUAUUUGUGUAAAGUUAUUUAAAAACUCUGUACUAUAUAAAAGGCAAAAAAAGUUCUAUGUACUUGAUGUGAAUAUGCGAAUACUGCUAUAAUAAAGAUUGACUGCAUGGAGAAGUCUU